rnacentral:ncRNA from 1 species
ACAGCUAGGGGUGCCCCACAAGGCUGAGACUAUACCCUUAUAACCUGAUCCGGUUGAUCCCGGCGUAGGAAAGUUGACAA